AUUGAACGCUGGCGGCAUGCCUUACACAUGCAAGUCGAACGGUAACAGGUCUUCGGAUGCUGACGAGUGGCGAACGGGUGAGUAAUACAUCGGAACGUGCCUAGUAGUGGGGGAUAACUACUCGAAAGAGUGGCUAAUACCGCAUGAGAUCUACGGAUGAAAGCAGGGGAUCGCAAGACCUUGUGCUACUAGAGCGGCCGAUGGCAGAUUAGGUAGUUGGUGGGAUAAAAGCUUACCAAGCCGACGGUCUGUAGCUGGUCUGAGAGGACGAUCAGCCCCACUGGGACUGAGACACGGCCCAGACUCCUACGGGAGGCAGCAGUGGGGAAUUUUGGACAAUGGGCGCAAGCCUGAUCCAGCAAUGCCGCGUGCAGGAUGAAGGCCUUCGGGUUGUAAACUGCUUUUGUACGGAACGAAAAGCCCCGGGUUAAUACCCUGGGGUCAUGACGGUACCGUAAGAAUAAGCACCGGCUAACUACGUGCCAGCCGCCGCAGUAA
rnacentral:rRNA from 1 species